UUUGCAUCACACGUCUCUUUUGGGUUCUUUGAGUGAGAUCUGUCAGCACUGACGCUGCGUUGGCAGCAGUGGAUGCACCGGCAUUUCUCCUGGCUGGUUUCUUACAGCUGGUAUGAUAACCUGGUAACCUGGGGAGAGCUCAGACUGGAGAACAGGUGCCCUGGCUUGGACAUUACUGGAGUUCAAUGUGAAUUCAUUGGACAAGAGACAGCAGAGAGACUGUUCGCUGCAGGAAACAAGCCUGAGGAAGAGUCAGCAAAACCCUGGUGCAGGUGAAGAUGACAGAAUUCACCCUGGAAUGGCAGCUUCCCUGAUGUCUGUCUGUGGGAAAAUCCACCUCACUAGUGAUGUGCUCUGCAAAAGGAAGAAAUGAAGAGAGAGAAGGAUGUGGAAAUCAUAGAAUCAUAGAAUGGUUUCUGUUGGAAGGGACCUCAA